AUGUGCUUCGUAUCUUCUCAAAGCUAUGGUUCAAGAUCUUCAAGGUUCACUGCUUUAUACUUUAUGAUUUCUUUGGUAAAGGUUCAGGGAGAACUCGUGUGUACUUUGAAAUUACCAUUCAAAGUGUUGAAGCUGAGAAGAAAAAGGCUUAGGAAGAACCCUCUUAGAACGACUUGCAUAAUUGUAUGGAGAAAAAUUAACAUUUAUGCUUACCGUCCAAUAUCGUAUGCAUUAACUUAUCAUGGAUUAAGAGCUUUACAAUAG